UGAGGGCAGAGGAGAGAGUGGGGAGGUAGGCAUGGGGUGACCAUCUGGACCUGAGAGAGCAGAGCUGCAGGCACUGUCCAAGCACUCCAAAAUGGCAGAUGGGCAUCAUGGUGCCUAAGAGGCCCUGGGAGGAGGGGGGCAGCCCAGUGUGGCAUAUGCAGGAGCUUCCCCACUCCUCCCAGCCCAGGCCUUCUCCACCCCCACCUUAUCUCCCUGGGCCUUCUAAUGUCUGAUUCUGGAAAAUCCCCCUUCAAACUCCCUUUCACUGAGGGGAGGAGUUGUGCUUGGGGAUAAGGGAGACAUGAUCUUCCUUAAAACCACCAGAGCUCCUGUACCUUCCCCUUGGGGGUCAGUGUGGUCCGUCCCACAUUCCCUUUUUAGACCCCAACCCUGGGGGCUGGUGAGGAGGAGUGCUCCAAAGUGCUAUGGAAAAGUCAGAUCCCACCACACGGUGGGGGCCAGGAACCGAGUUCCCGGGGUGCCCCAGGUUGUCAGCAGGCUUCCCUCCUGUGAACCUAUGACAAGGGCUGCUUAUGGCAGCACCCCGCUCUCCAGGUCCUAGAAAGCUGGCUUGGGGCCCUGGUCGCCCCAACCAGAGAGAGGGCGAUAGGCUGUUUGUGGAGGACAGAGCUUGAGGCAUCGCGGCCGGCCGCACGGGGCUGGCUGCAGUCUUCAGGAAAGGACUUGCGUAUCGGCGGCCAGAAGCCCAGUUCGGGGACAGCCUUCAGUUUUUGACGAGGGAUCUUCCCAGGAGUCUCCCAGCAUGGGCCCAAAACGCCACAGAUGCCACAAGCCGCAGUCCUCCGAGCGCGAGUGAGCACGGGCGUGCGCGUUUUGGGCGACAGGUUCCUCUUUGAGCCCGGGAGUUGGUAAGAAGGAUGCGGACCGCGCUGCCCUCUGGUGGACAUUCCGGGGAACUACAGCUCCAGGACGCGAGGUUGGUGGAGAACGUGGACGGGUCUUAGCCGACUGCUCCCUCUGGUCACGCAGAGAUCACAGCACGAACUGGGAAACGGAGAGGGCAAGGAUGACACAGAAAAGGCCUUGCGCCAUCCUACCAUCAUCAGGGUUGUCUUUCUGCUCCCCAUGUGUCUCUUGGGCUCUUCCCGUGGGCCCUGGUUGGCACUAUCACUCUGCCCUCCCCUCCUCUCUCAUCCUCGCUGGGAUCUGGCUUCCGAGGACUAGGAGGGGGACUGGGAAUCGGCUUAAGUGCUCCGAACCACUCAGACGUGGGCGGACACCAGGUUUUUAAAUCUUGAAAGGGCCAAGAGAGCCCUCAACUCCUCCAGAAGCCGCUGCUCUUCCUGCGGGGGACCGGGGAAAAUUGCUUGUUUAUUAUUUAUUUUUAUGCAAAUGAUCUAGACCAAACAAAGCACAGGGAACCGUGUCUGGCAAGAAGCACAUGCUCAGUAAAUAUUUGCUGAAUAAAAUUGAAGAGGAUCUGGUAGCAAAAGGUGCAUUAUCUCAAUGCCUUGGAGAGCAGAUGAGAAGCUGACAGGUGAAACUGAUUCUUCUUGGAGUGUUCCUGCCUGCCAAAAGUGGUUCAGGGGCUGGGGAUAUAGCUCAGUUGGUAGAGUGCUUGCCUCAGAUGCACAAGGCCCUGGGUUCAAUACCCAGCACCUCAAAAAAUAAAAAAAAGUGCUUCUGGAUACUGGCUCAUUCUCUGGGUUCCUCUGCUCAUUUUCAAGAGAUCUGGAUUGGAAGCUUCUCCAGCCAUGUGGAGAGCAGACCUGUGGGGCUGCCUCCAUCUACACUCACUUUUU